CGGGGGAGGUUGGAUCCUGGGCUGCGUCCCCGGCGCCCUGAGCUCCCAGUCCUGCGCUGUUGGAUUCGUGCUCCAGGCCGCGCAGCCCCCU
rfam:Canis lupus familiaris chromosome X, whole genome shotgun sequence.